ACGUGUUCGUUUUUCUCAAAAAAAAAAAAGUUCAUGCCUCAGUGACUUCGGAUCAGAAAAUGUAUCAUUUACCCUCUGCAGCCAUCUUUUUGCGUAUUUCAUGAGCUGUGUUGAAAAUGCCAAGCGUAGGUUGGUUGCACACAAAACAUUUCUUGUUCUUUGCAUGGUGCUUCAAAGCACAAUGCUCACAGAAGUAGUGCUUGCAUUUAGUCACAACAGGAUCCACAAAAGGCUGCCGACAAAUGAAACAUGCAAAUGGCAAUGAAUCAUCAUCAUCAUCUUCUUCUUCAUCACUCUGUUCUACACCACCCUCAUCCUCUCCCAAAGCCAAAUUUCUCUUCCUUAUCUUCUCUGCCUCUUCCCACUCCUUCUCCAGCUGCCAACCAGGCUUGUAAUCCCCUCGAUCAUGCAUGAAUUUACAUGCAUCUCCAUACCCACAGUAACCGGUUUCUUUGUAAUCCUUGCAAAUGUCCGGCUGAUAAUCAAAUCUUGCUGACACCCUAAUAUGAGCAGAGGCCCUAAGAGGCCCAUGAGCUCCACCCGCUUUUUCACUUGAAAUUGUUUGCUCUCUUCGAAACCCAGCUUUAUGAUCAGUAUACCCAUGAAUUCCUUUAUACAGCUUUUCGUUACCAGAGCUUGGAUUUUUACCUUUCAGAGCCUCCUCUGCUUGCUUAAGAGCUCUCUCACGAAUGGCCCGAGCAUCUUUUGAGAACUCAGUUUCAGUUUCUAGAGUUGCUGUUGCUCUACUAUCAUGUUGAACUUGAAUUUCCUUUGAAGACUCAAACUGAAAGAUUUUUCUAUCAGAUUCAACAUCUGAUUCAGUGGACAUUGAACUUUUGGAAGGUCCAGAGGAAAAGAACAACUUAUUGUCGGGUUUUGGGGCUUUUUUCUGAUUGUGCAGCAAAGAGCUUUCAUUUUUUGAAUCCUCAUCUUCAUCUUCCUCAAUUAUUCUCUUUCUAAUGUUCUUGUUCUUCAGAGGCUUUCUGAAAAAAUUACACACUGGUUCAGGCUGUUGAGAUUCACCAGAAUCUGCCAUAUUCAGAAUAGAAUGACAAAAGAUAUCAACUUCUCUAAUCGAAUAAGAUAACUUGGAAGGAUUAUUUGCUCGGAACAGCACACCCCUUAUUCUCUUAAUAAUCGAAAAGAAAAGUUAGUGAGAUUUUGGUGAAUUUUUUUCGCUUCGUCGGUGGAAGUAGCGAAAUUCCGGUGAUAUCUUCGGCCGUCG
rnacentral:misc_RNA from 1 species